GACGAACGCUGGCGGCGUGCCUAAUACAUGCAAGUCGAACGCUGAAGGAGGAGCUUGCUUCUCUGGAUGAGUUGCGAACGGGUGAGUAACGCGUAGGUAACCUGCCUGGUAGCGGGGGAUAACUAUUGGAAACGAUAGCUAAUACCGCAUAAGAGUAGAUGUUGCAUGACAUUUGCUUAAAAGGUGCAAUUGCAUCACUACCAGAUGGACCUGCGUUGUAUUAGCUAGUUGGUGGGGUAACGGCUCACCAAGGCGACGAUACAUAGCCGACCUGAGAGGGGGAUCGGCCAAACUGGGACUGAGACACGGCCCAGACUCCUACGGGAGGCAGCAGUAGGGAAGCGUCGGCAAUGGACGGAAGUCUGACCGAGCAACGCCGCGGGAGGGAAGAAGGGUUUCGGAUCGUAAAGCUCUGUUGUAAGAGAAGAAAGAGUGUGAGAGUGGAAAGUUCACACUGUGACGGUAUCUGACCAGAAAGGGACGGCUAACUACGUG
rnacentral:rRNA from 1 species